GACGAACGCUGGCGGCGUGCCUAAUACAUGCAAGUCGAGCGAGACUCUUCGGAGUCUAGCGGCGGACGGGUGAGUAACACGUGGGCAACCUGCCUGUAAGACUGGGAUAACACCGGGAAACCGGUGCUAAUACCGGAUAAUCCUUUUCCUCUCAUGAGGAAAAGCUGAAAGUCGGUUUCGGCUGACACUUACAGAUGGGCCCGCGGCGCAUUAGCUAGUUGGUGAGGUAAUGGCUCACCAAGGCGACGAUGCGUAGCCGACCUGAGAGGGUGAUCGGCCACACUGGGACUGAGACACGGCCGAGACUCCUACGGGAGGCAGCAGUAGGGAAUCUUCCACAGUGGACGAAAGUCUGAUGGAGCAACGCCGCGUGAGCGAUGAAGGCCUUCGGGUCGUAAAGCUCUGUUGUUAGGGAAGAACAAGUACCGGAGUAACUGCCGGUACCUUGACGGUACCUAACCAGAAAGCCACGGCUAACUACGUGCCAGCCGCCGCUGUAAAAC
rnacentral:rRNA from 1 species